UACGUAGGGGGCAAGCGUUGUCCGGAUUUAUUGGGCGUAAAGAGCGUGUAGGCGGCCACACAGGUCAGCUGUGAAAACUCGAGGCUCAACCUCGAGACGUCGGUUGAAACCGUAUGGCUAGAGUCCGGAAGAGGAGAGUGGAAUUCCCGGUGUAGCGGUGAAAUGCGCAGAUAUCAGGAAGAACACCCGUGGCGAAAGCGGCUCUCUGGAACGGUACUGACGCUGAGACGCGAAAGCGUGGGGAGCGAACAGG
rnacentral:rRNA from 1 species